AUACGUAGGGUGCGAGCGUUAAUCGGAAUUACUGGGCGUAAAGCGUGCGCAGGCGGUUUUGUAAGACAGGCGUGAAAUCCCCGGGCUCAACCUGGGAAUGGCGCUUGUGACUGCAAGGCUAGAGAGCGUCAGAGGGGGGUAGAAUUCCACGUGUAGCAGUGAAAUGCGUAGAGAUGUGGAGGAAUACCGAUGGCGAAGGCAGCCCCCUGGGACGAGACUGACGCUCAUGCACGAAAGCGUGGGGAGCAAACAGGAUUAGAAACCCCAGUAGUCC
rnacentral:rRNA from 1 species